rnacentral:rRNA from 1 species
UAGUUGGUGUUGAUUGGGGUGAGGGUCCACCUGUUCCCAUACCGAACACAGAAGUUAAGCUCACCUCCGCCGACAAUACUUACCGGGUGACUGGUCGGGAAGAUAGGUAAUGCCAACAC